rnacentral:rRNA from 1 species
GCCAUUAGUGGAUGCCUUGGAAGUAUUGACCGAAGAAGGACGCUUCAUGGUUCGCGAAACUCGUCGGGGAGUGACCAAUGACACUUUGAUCCGGCGGUGUCCGAAUGGGGAGACCCGUUCCGAUGCAAAAUCGGAAUAACCUCGUCACGAAAAUGUUCCGCCGUAAGGCGGGAUGUAUUAGUGGCAGGUGGGGUACCCGGUGAACUGAAACAUCUAAGUAACCGGUGGAAAAGAAAUCACAGAGAUUCCCUUAGUAGCGGCGAGCGAAAAGGGAAAAGCUCAAACCGCUUAUGCAUAGCAUAAGCUAGUUUAUAAAGUAGAAAGUUUUUAAGGUUUGUAAGGUAAUUCUUUAUGAACUUUAUAACUUUACGAACUUUAAACUGGCUCGUGCUGUGCACGAGCGGUGUUGUAGGACGGCUGGCUUAAAUGCAAAAGGUUACAAGAGUUAGGUAGUAGAAGGCGCCGGAAUUGCGCCGCCAAAGAGGGUGAUAGCCCUGUAAACGAAACCUAAUUCUACCUUCGCCUGUUCCUGAGUACCAUGGGGCACGAUUAAACCCUGUGGGAAGCUGGGGCGACCAAGCUCCAAAGCUAAAUAUCAAUACUUACCGAUAGUGAACUAGUACCGCGAGGGAAAGGUGAAAAGCACCCCGGGAGGGGGAUGAAAGAGUACCUGAAACUAAUGGCUAACAAGCAGUCAAAGGGCUUUGCCCUUUGAACAGUUGACAGUUGACCAAUUGACCAAUUAACGAUCAAAAGUUGUUAAUUUGUUAAUUUUGUUAAUUUGUUAAGUGUUCAGAAGGCAGAGCCUAAUGACGUGCCUAUUGAAGAAUGAGCCAGUGAGUUUUUGUUGUCUUCUAGUCUAACCAAGCUCAGCUUGGGGAGGCGCAGUGAAAGCGAGCCCUAAUCGGGCGAAAUUAGAAGCCAACAGGAGACCCGAAACCGGGUGAGCUAACCAUGAGCAGGGUGAAUGCCGACGAGAGUCGGCAGGAGGCCCGAACUCGUGACAGUAGCAAUUGUCUGAGAUGACUUGUGGUUAGGGGUAAUAUACCAAACGAACUCGGAGAUAGCUGGUUCUCCCUGAAAUAUAUUUAGGUAUAGCCUUAAUAAUUACGCAUUGGGGGUAGAGCACUGAAUGGUCUCUGGUAGCGCAAGCUAUCAGGAUCAAUCAAACUCCGAAUACCAAUGUAUUCAUAUAUUAAGAGUCAGUCCUGCGGCGCUAAGGUCGUGGGGCGAGAGGGAAACAUCCCAGACUCCCGUAUAAGGCCUCUAAAUUCAAGCUAAGUUGUUAAGAAAGUCACGGUCCUCAGACACCUAGGAGGUUGGCUUAGAAGCAGCCAUCCUUUAAAGAAAGCGUAACAGCUCACUAGUCGACCUGCCCCGCCUUUGGCGGGGUAAAGGACAGUGGCGUCGAAAAUGAUCGAGGAUUAAGCUUGAUGCCGAAGACGGAGGUGUUCCGGUUGUAUAUUUUGUUCAUAAAAUCAGUGGUAAUCUGUUACAAAUCCGCGCAAAUCAAGGCCUGGAUUUAACAGAUUUAUGGCUGAUUUUCACGGAUCGAUUUAUGGACAGGAUUUACGACCGGAAUGCAGUAAGGGAGCGUUCUGUUUGCCUUGAAGCUGAAUCGUAAGGUUUGGUGGAGCGAACAGAAGUGAGAAUGCUGGCAUGAGUAGCGAAUUGCACCUGAGAACGGUGCACGCCGAAAGCCCAAGGUUUCCUUCGCAAUGUAAGUCAGCGAAGGGUUAGUCGGCUCCUAACGGUGACCCGUGGUAACGCGGGGUAGCCGGAUGGACGACUCGUUAAAAUUCGAGUACAGGGUGUGGUGCGUUAUUACCUGGGGACUGACCAUCUUGGAAGAGGUUUCCCGAUAUAUCGGGAUUAAGUCGCAAGAUAGUUUUGAUUGGGAAAUCCGUCAAAGUGUUUAAAUCGAGCGACGAAUACAAGUCUGAAAGGCAACAAGUAGGACGAGAAUCUAUCUUUCAGGAUGCGAGAAAAAGUUCACAGGAAGCAUCAUAUCUUGCCGUACCGCAUUACCGACACAGGUGGGCUGGUGCAAGAACACCAAGGCGAUCGGGAGAAGAAUGUUCAAGGAACUCGGCAAAAAAGCUGGGCGUAACCUUUGGGAGAUGCCCUGCCACGACUAAUCUCGUGGUUAAGCAAAAGAUUAUUUGGCAACUGUUUAUCUAAAACACAGGUCCCUGCAAAGCCGAAAGGCAAGGUAUAGGGGCUGACACCUGCCCAGUGCUGGUAAGUCAAUGAUGGUGGAUGAAAUUCGCAAGAAUCAGUCUAUUUUCAAAGCUCCAGUGAACGGCAGCAGUAACUAUAACUGUUCUAUGGUAGAGUUUGAAAGAAAACUCCACUGCCAUAGUGAGGUAUGUUUGCAGAGUGCAAAAGAACCCUCCGUUUCGAUAGCCAAAUUCGAGAUGAAAAUCUGACCAUAUGCUGGAAAGUCUUGUUACUCUGAAUCUACUAUGGUAAUAUUUUUCCAUAGCGAUGAAUUUACAAAGUAAAAAUGAUAUCAGUAAAGAUAAUCAGCAGGAAAGGCUUAGAACUGCAGGUUGGAUUGUAGGAUUUGUUGAUGGAGAAGGAUGUUUCUCAGUAUCAAUCUUUAAGAAUCGAACAACAAGAAGUGGAUGGCAAGUUUUGCCUGAAUUUGUUGUAACGCAAGGAGCAAAAAGUCUAUCGGCGCUCGAAGAAAUGAAAAAUUACUUCGGAUGUGGGAGACUUUUUAUAAAUCGGCGUCAUGACAAUCAUAGAGAAGAUCUAUACCGCUAUUGUGUUCGAGCAAUUAGAGAUUUAAGAGAGAUAAUUAUUCCUUUUUUUGAAGCAAAUCCAUUAAGAACGGCUAAGAAGAAAGACUUCGAGCUGUUUAAAGAAGCAAUUCGACUAAUGAGUGAAAACGUUCAUCUUACCCAGGAGGGUGUUGAUCGUCUUCUAAAACUAAAGCAGUCCUAUUCAUCCUCAGAGACUAUACGUCAGAGUCCUAUAAUAGGACAAGAUAUAGUCCAAGCUAUAUAGGAUCUAAUCCUAUAGUACGAGCGAAGUUCCUUGUCGGGUGAGUUCCGACCCGCACGAAAGGUAGAAUGACCGAAUAACUGUCUUGAACAUUUACCCGGCGAAAUUGAGAUGGCUGUGAAGACGCGGCCUAGUUGUCCUAGGACAAAAAGACCCCGGGAGCUUUACUGUAGCUUCGCAUUUGAAAGAUUAUUUUAACUGUAGAGAAUAGGAGGGACCCCGCCGCAAGGCGGGGGUCAGUGGAAUACCUCUCUUUAAAAUGGUUGAUCAUUAUUCUUAUCCCGCAUAAAAAUCCGGGAAGAAGACAGUGCGUGGUGGGCAGUUUGACUGGGGAGGUCGACUCCUAAAAUGCAACGGAGUUGUACAAAGGUUGGCUUAGCACGGAUGGAAAU